rnacentral:rRNA from 1 species
GUGGAUUAGAUACCCUGGUAGUCCAUGCCGUAAACGUUGGGAACUAGGUGUGGGUCUCAUUCCACGAGAUCCGUGCCGCAGCUAACGCAUUAAGUUCCCCGCCUGGGGAGUACGGCCGCAAGGCUAAAACUCAAAGGAAUUGACGGGGGCCCGCACAAGCGGCGGAGCAUGCGGAUUAAUUCGAUGCAACGCGAAGAACCUUACCAAGGCUUGACAUACACCGGAAUCACUCAGAGAUGGGUGCGUCUUCGGACUGGUGUACAGGUGGUGCACGGUUGUCGUCAGCU